CUCGGCGUUUCCGGCACGGCCAAGUGAUGCGUUUCUGACUGGGCUGGAAAAUCGAGUGA
rnacentral:pre_miRNA from 1 species